rnacentral:rRNA from 1 species
UACGUAGGGUGCAAGCGUUAAUCGGAAUUACUGGGCGUAAAGCGUGCGCAGGCGGUUUUGUAAGUCUGUCGUGAAAUCCCCGGGCUUAACCUGGGAACUGCAUUGGUGACUGGCGGGCUAGAGUAUGGCAGAGGGGGGUAGAAUUCCACGUGUAGCAGUGAAAUGCGUAGAGAUGUGGAGGAAUACCGAUGGCGAAGGCAGCCCCCUGGGCCAAUACUGACGCUCAUGCACGAAAGCGUGGGGAGCAAACAGG